rnacentral:rRNA from 1 species
AAUGAACGCUGGCGGCAGGCCUAAUACAUGCAAGUCGAACGCGUGGCGGACGGGAGAGCAAUGUCGGGGAAACUGCCUGAUGGAGGGGGAUAACUACUGGAACCGGUAGCUAAUACCGCAUACCAUCGGAUGUGCCCAGAUGGGCGUAGCAAGGGGGUGGGGUAAAGGCUCACCUAGGCGACGAUCCCUAGCCGGUCUGAGAGGAUGACCCGCCACACGGGAACUGAGACACGGUCCACACUCCUACGGGAGGCAGAAGUGGGGAAUAGUGCACAAGGGGCGCAAGCCUGAUGCAGCCAUGCCGCGUGUAUGAAGAAGGCCUUCGGGUUGUAAAGUACUUUCGGCGGGGAGGCGGUACCCUAAGAAGAAGCGACGGCUAACUCCGUGCCAGCAGCCGCGGUAAUAC